GAUGAACGCUGGCGGCGUGCUUAACACAUGCAAGUCGAACGGAAAGGCCCAAGCUUGCUUGGGUACUCGAGUGGCGAACGGGUGAGUAACACGUGGGUGAUCUGCCCUGCACUUCGGGAUAAGCCUGGGAAACUGGGUCUAAUACCGGAUAGGACCACUUCUUCGAUGUUGUGGUGGAAAGUUUUUUCGGUGUGGGAUGAGCUCGCGGCCUAUCAGCUUGUGUGUGUGGGAAUGGCCUACCAAGGCGUCGACGGGUAGCCGGACUGAGGGGGUGUAAGUCGACAUUGGGACUGAGAGAAGGCCGCGAUGCCUACGGGAGGCCGCUGUGGGGAAUAUUGAACAAUGGGCGCAAGCCGGAUGCAGCGAGGCCGCGUGGGGGAUGACCGUCUUCGGGUUGAAAACUACUUUCGGUAGGAACGAAGCGUUUUGUGACGGUACCUGGAGAAGAAGCACCGGCUAACUACGUG
rnacentral:rRNA from 1 species